rnacentral:lncRNA from 1 species
GGGAGGAACCAAGGUUUCUCCUCCAGCCCAGGGAGCCAGGGGCUGGCAUUCUGUGUCCAGGACUUCGGGCCCUCUGUGAGCCUCUGUCCGCCAAGGCGAUGGAGCUGUGUUUGGAGUCCCUCGUCUUUGGCAGCGGCUGGGGCCAAAGCCCGGGCAAGACCAACGCCUUCGGCACCCGGACUCAGGCUCCGUCCUCUCUGCCAGCGUGCGGCUACAAUGACUCGACAUGGCAGGUGGGCAAGCACAGCACGCCCCAACAGACAUGCUUUAUUUAAUAUGUACUAAAAAUACAGCAGGCCUGUGAAACCCACAGGUGCAAUUGCUUAAAAUGAGGCUAAGGUAGACGUGUGAAUGGUUAAUAAUGAGUUGAUUAAAAUAUUCAGAAAUCAUCUACUGGAGACGGGCAAACUGCAAAAUGGUAGCAUGGGAGCAACUGAUGUUCGAGAAAGCCCAGGCUCCGGCAAGCCGUGGGUUUGAAUUUACACAUGCGCACAUAAUGGGUAUGAAUAAACCUUUCUUCAAAAAAACCAGAUCAAGUCAAGGCAGUUAUUUGCUGUGGGCAGGUGCCAAGGCUGGCUGCUUCAGUCCCCACGCGAGUCGCCCCCGAGCCUGCUUCUGCAGCCCAGCCUGGAAAGUGCAAGGCACUUGGAAAGGAGCCACGCCCAACGCCCUGUACCAGCGGCCUCCCGGACACCAACAGCGUCCUCUGCGCCUGCUGCAGCUUGUCCCUUAGUCCUCCCUGGACAGAGGGCGUGAAGUUGGCUGCGCCAACAGGACGCGGCCCGCUCACUUCGGGGCUCAUUGUCCUGGACACACAGUCAGGGCUGGACGCCUCCAGCAGCCCCACGCUUCACCCCAAGGUCCGCAAACCUGACAACUUCGGAGGUAGGGAUAUCUUGACACAGUCUGAAAACAAACCAUUUAAAACUUUUUUUCUCAAAAAAUUAAAAUAAUUUUUUUCUGCUUACAAAAUCUAUAAAUUCAGUUCAAUAUCAAUGAAAAUCGCAACAGGAUGUUGACACUUGAGAAGCUGAUUUGAAAGUUCAUCUGAAAGAGAAAAUAUAUAGGAAUCCUGAAGAUGAUUUCGAAAACCUCCAAAAAGACUUCAGUAAUUCACACAGAAAAUCCAGAAACAGAUUCAUGUUUAUGGGGAAAUUUAGUAUUUGAUACAGGAGACCUUUCAAAGCCAAGCUGGAAAGAUGGAAGGUCAACAGAGGCUUUGGGGAAAACUCACUAUCCAUUUUGAAACCAAUGUUAGAAUCUUCUUACCAUUUGCAAGAAUAAACUCCAGGUGUAUUAAAGAGCUAAACAUUUAAAAAAUCUAUAAAAGUUUUAAAGCCAAAUAUGGAAGAAUAUUUUUAAAAUCCUAUGGUGAAGAAGGCUUUUACUAAGCAGCAAACAAAACCUGGAAACCGUAAAGGAAAUGACUGACAGAUUUGAAUAUUGCAAGAACUAAAUGAAUGCCUCCUUAAACAAAUUAAAGGACAAAUUCCAGGCAGGGAGAAAAUAGUUUACAAUAGAAGUAAUGUGCCAAUGGUUAAUAUCUGUGUUGCAUAAACAUGUCUUUCCAAUCAAUAAGAAAAGAGUAGGAAAUGGGUAAGGAUUUAACAGGCAAUUCACAGAAGACAAAGUAACCGGCCCCUAAAUGGGAGCAUAUCCUCAACUUCACUAGUAAUAAAGGAAACGAAUUUAAAAGACGAUACAUUUCUCACUUCUUCUCUCCUUAUAGCUGUAUUCCACCUUUGACCAUACAGCCUGUUUUUA